UACAGAGGGUGCGAGCGUUGUCCGGAAUCACUGGGCGUAAAGGGCGCGUAGGUGGCUGGGUAAGCGUGUGGUGAAAGUCCGGGGCUCAACCCCGGAUCUGCCGUGCGAACUGCCUAGCUCGAGCAAUGUAGAGGCAGGUGGAAUUUCGGGUGUAGCGGUGGAAUGCGUAGAGAUCUGCAAGAACACCCGUGGCGAAGGCGGCCAGCUGGGCCGGAUCCGACGCUGAGGCGCGAAAGCGUGGGGAGCAAACAGG
rnacentral:rRNA from 1 species